rnacentral:rRNA from 1 species
AUUGAACGCUGGCGGCAGGCCUAGCACAUGCAAGUCGAGCGGAUGAAGGGAGCUUGCUCCUGGAUUCAGCGGCGGACGGGUGAGUAAUGCCUAGGAAUCUGCCUGGUAGUGGGGGAUAACGUCCGGAAACGGGCGCUAAUACCGCAUACGUCCUGAGGGAGAAAGUGGGGGAUCUUCGGACCUCACGCUAUCAGAUGAGCCUAGGUCGGAUUAGCUAGUUGGUGGGGUAAAGGCCUACCAAGGCGACGAUCCGUAACUGGUCUGAGAGGAUGAUCAGUCACACUGGAACUGAGACACGGUCCAGACUCCUACGGGAGGCAGCAGUGGGGAAUAUUGGGCAAUGGGCGAAAGCCUGAUCCAGCCAUGCCGCGUGUGUGAAGAAGGUCUUCGGAUUGUAAAGCACUUUAAGUUGGGAGGAAGGGCAGUAAGUUAAUACCUUGCUGUUUUGACGUUACCAACAGAAUAAGCACCGGCUAACUUCGUG